ncrna:unclassified sequences int-alpA RNA
CAACAGGCUUACCCGACGGGGGACAAGCGUAAUUCCAUGAUACGCCUGCCUGUUGUUUUUAUAAAUCAUGG